AAUUGAGACAGGUGGUGCGAUGGUUGUCGUCAGCUCGUGUCGUGAGAUGUUGGGUUAAGUCCCGCAACGAGCGCAACCCUUGUGUUUUAGUUGCAAACAGGUCAAGCUGUGCACUCUAGACAGACUGCCGUGGACAACACGGAGGAAGGUGGGGAUGACGUCAAAUCAUCAUGCCCCUUAUGAUCUGGGCUACACACGUGCUACAAUGGCCGGUACAACGGGCAGCGAAGGAGCGAUCCGGAGCGAAUCCUAAAAAGCCGGUCCCAGUUCGGAUUGCAGGCUGAAACUCGCCUACAUGAAGUUGGAGUUGCUAGUAAUCGCGAAUCAGAAUGUCGCGGUGAAUGCGUUCCCGGGUCUU
rnacentral:rRNA from 1 species